GAUGAACGCUGGCGGAGUGCCUAACACAUGCAAGUCGAGCGGCAGCGCGAGUAGUUUACUACUUGGCGGCGAGCGGCGGACGGCUGAGUAACGCGUGGGAACAUGCCCCAAAGUGAGGAAUAACUGCCCGAAAGGGUAGCUAAUGCCGCAUACGAUCUUCGGAUUAAAGGAUUUAUCCGCUUUGGGAGUGGCCUGCGUACGAUUAGAUAGUUGGUGAGGUAAUGGCUCACCAAGUCUACGAUCGUUAACUGGUUUGAGAGGAUGAUCAGUCAGACUGGAACUGAGACACGGUCCAGACUCCUACGGGAGGCAGCAGUGAGGAAUCUUCCACAAUGGACGAAAGUCUGAUGGAGCAACUCCGCGUGCAGGAUGAAGGCUUCGGUCGUAAACUGCUUUAUGAGUGAAGAAUAUGACGGUAACUCAUGAUAAAGGUCGGCGUAACUACGUGCCAGCAGCCGCGGUAAU
rnacentral:rRNA from 1 species